rnacentral:rRNA from 1 species
GAUGAACGCUAGCUACAGGCUUAACACAUGCAAGUCGAGGGGUCUUUUGGAGCUUGCUUUAAAAGACGACCGGCGCACGGGUGAGUAACGCGUAUCCAACCUGCCCUUCAUAUUGGGAUAGCCUUCCGAAAGGAAGAUUAAUACCGAAUAACAUGAUAGAGCUGCCUGAUUUUAUCAUGAAAGCUCCGGCGAUGAAGGAUGGGGAUGCGUUCCAUUAGGUAGUAGGCGGGGUAACGGCCCACCUAGCCGACGAUGGAUAGGGGUUCUGAGAGGAAGGUCCCCCACACUGGAACUGAGACACGGUCCAGACUCCUACGGGAGGCAGCAGUGAGGAAUAUUGGUCAAUGGGCGCAAGCCUGAACCAGCCAAGUAGCGUGAAGGAUGACUGCCCUAUGGGUUGUAAACUUCUUUUAUACGGGAACAAACCCCGGUACGUGUACCGGAUUGCGUGUACCGUAUGAAUAAGCAUCGGCUAACUCCGUGCCAGCAGCCGCGGUAAAAC